GUAUUGAUUAUGUUUUUUUGUAUUCUAAAAAAAUAUAACCGAAAAAUUAUAUAAAUAAAACUAUGUAAUACAAUUACAUUGUUCAAAAUUUGUGGGAUACUAGAAAUACAAAUUUAAAAAAUUAAACUCAGUUUUGAGAUCUAACUGGUUAUAGCAGAAAAUUUUAGCAAAGUAUUGAUAAUUCUAGUUAAAUGUGUGGCAAUGGCUUAAGCUGUUGGCUAACUAUCAAGGUGGCUAGAGUUUGAAACCUAACUUGGGAAGAAUUGUGUUUGCUGAGCACCUAAUGGCAGCAUGGAAACCAUUCUCACAUUUAACCACUGAUCUACAAAAGAGAAUGGAUCAUAGUGAGCAUGCUAUAAGCAAUGGUUUGCCUGAAACAGCCAGGAAAACCAACGACUUAGCAGAGUUUGAGUCAUUGAUUAACAUGCAUGAGUAGAUUGACACAUGAAAUGCAUAGGACAUAAUAAUCUUCUUUUUUGAAGUAACAUCUAUAAUCUAUAAGAUAAGCAUGGAAGAUGUGCUAUAUAAAAACUUUUUUUUUUUAAAAAGAUGUUUAUUUCAAUAAAUGCCUUGUAGUGAUAAUAUGAAGGACAAAGUCAUUAAAUGUACAAAUUCAAAGUUUGAUUUAUUCAUACUUUCAAUGAAUGCAACUAGGCAAAACAA